UGUCCGAAAACCGUAAAAAAGAAGGAAAAAAAAAAAGGCUCUGCCAUCACUGCUGGCGCCCCUGGUUAGCAUGGAGGGCUGGAUUGAAAUCACAGGUGUGAGGCCACCUCCAGCCCCCAGUACUGCCACCCUCCGUGCCAGCAGGGAGCCCGCUCCCCGCUCCGCGGUUACUGAGGCGGGGGUGUGCGUGUGAGGGGGCAGCGCGGCCGUUAGCGGGGCAGCCGUUAAGGCCGGGGGCCGCGGCCGUUAGGGCUGAGGGAGCAGCGCGCGGCGCACAGGUGUGCGCGGCGGGGCAGGUGCGGCGGCGGCAUGAGGGCCACCCCCCACACACACACACAGCGCAGUGUCCGUGUCCCCUCGCCGCCGCCGGGCUGGUGGCCGGAGCUCGGCGGUGGUGGGUUUGGAAGCGAGCAGGGAAAGACACCGGGACCGCCUGCUGCAGGCAUCCAUCUGAAAGUAGAGACAGACACGUUUACUGUUUGUAGUGGAACUACACUGGUAUGCAUUUGUAUUUCAACCAUGGUUUUGAGUGGUUGCAAACAAACCACGGGAGUUGCUCAUGGAUGGCUAGAGGCUUCUAUAGACACAUGGAUGGAGACUUUCACAUGCUUCCUAUUUGGUUCAAAUUUGGCACUGCAAAUACAAACACCUGAACUGAACUUUUAAUCUGCUAAGACUAGUACUCCAACGGCGAUAGUUCCUCAGAAAUCACAGAUUUGAAGAAAAUCAAGCAUCAAAUUUCAAGUAUUACCUGGGCUGCUAGCAGUGGUUGUGCAUCUUCCAUUUCAAUUACCGUAUCCUGGCACGGUGCAGCAGAGAGUAGACUAACUAUCAUACUAUCUUCAAGUAAAUACUCAACAUGAGAUGACUCUGUAUGCUGUACUGAACAGUUAACACCAAAGACAAAAUUGCUAUCUGGAAGAUGAAGAUGAGAGAUGACUGCGCUUGCAUUCAGUUACUUUAAAAUUAAACAGUACCUCAACAGCAGUGAGUUGAACUACUGGUCUGAUUCCCUGAGGUACCAUGUAAAGCUUUGGUGCUCUUUGCGAUGGAAGAAUUGGAAGGUUGGUGCCACCCUGUUAAGACAUAAGUACAUAAGUACUAUUUUCUCUCUCCUUCCUUAAAUGAAAUAUCUUGCAAGUAUUAAGACGAUUCUUCAUAUUAUAACUCGCUAUAAAAGUGAGUUAUAAUAUACAUUAUAUACUAUAUA